rnacentral:rRNA from 1 species
AGAGUUUGAUCCUGGCUCAGAUUGAACGCUGGCGGCAGGCCUAACACAUGCAAGUCGAACGGUAACAGGAAGCAGCUUGCUGCUUCGCUGACGAGUGGCGGACGGGUGAGUAAUGUCUGGGAAACUGCCUGAUGGAGGGGGAUAACUACUGGAAACGGUAGCUAAUACCGCAUAACGUCGCAAGACCAAAGAGGGGGACCUUCGGGCCUCUUGCCAUCGGAUGUGCCCAGAUGGGAUUAGCUUGUUGGUGGGGUAACGGCUCACCAAGGCGACGAUCCCUAGCUGGUCUGAGAGGAUGACCAGCCACACUGGAACUGAGGCACGGUCCAGACUCCUACGGGAGGCAGCAGUGGGGAAUAUUGCACAAUGGGCGCAAGCCUGAUGCAGCCAUGCCGCGUGUAUGAAGAAGGCCUUCGGGUUGUAAAGUACUUUCAGCGGGGAGGAAGGGAGUAAAGUUAAUACCUUUGCUCAUUGACGUUACCCGCAGAAGAAGCACCGGCUAACUCCGUGCCAGCAGCCGCGGUAAUACGGAGGGUGCAAGCGUUAAUCGGAAUUACUGGGCGUAAAGCGCACGCAGGCGGUUUGUUAAGUCAGAUGUGAAAUCCCCGGGCUCAACCUGGGAACUGCAUCUGAUACUGGCAAGCUUGAGUCUCGUAGAGGGGGGUAGAAUUCCAGGUGUAGCGGUGAAAUGCGUAGAGAUCUGGAGGAAUACCGGUGGCGAAGGCGGCCCCCUGGACGAAGACUGACGCUCAGGUGCGAAAGCGUGGGGAGCAAACAGGAUUAGAUACCCUGGUAGUCCACGCCGUAAACGAUGUCGACUUGGGAGGUUGUGCCCUUGAGGCGUGGCUUCCGGAGCUAACGCGUUAAGUCGACCGCCUGGGGAGUACGGCCGCAAGGUUAAAACUCAAAUGAAUUGACGGGGGCCCGCACAAGCGGUGGAGCAUGUGGUUUAAUUCGAUGCAACGCGAAGAACCUUACCUGGUCUUGACAUCCACGGAAGUUUUCAGAGAUGAGAAUGUGCCUUCGGGAACCGUGAGACAGGUGCUGCAUGGCUGUCGUCAGCUCGUGUUGUGAAAUGUUGGGUUAAGUCCCGCAACGAGCGCAACCCUUAUCCUUUGUUGCCAGCGGUCCGGCCGGGAACUCAAAGGAGACUGCCAGUGAUAAACUGGAGGAAGGUGGGGGUGACGUCAAGUCAUCAUGGCCCUCACGACCAGGGCUACACACGUGCUACAAUGGCGCAUACAAAGAGAAGCGACCUCGCGAGAGCAAGCGGACCUCAUAAAGUGCGUCGUAGUCCGGAUUGGAGUCUGCAACUCGACUCCAUGAAGUCGGAAUCGCUAGUAAUCGUGGAUCAGAAUGCCACGGUGAAUACGUUCCCGGGCCUUGCACUCACCGCCCGUCA